GCCUACCAUGGUGGUAACGGGUAACGGGGUGUUAGGGCACGACACCGGAGAGGGAGCCUGAGAAACGGCUACCACAUCCAAGGGAGGCAGCAGGCGCGCAAAUUACCCAAUCCCGACACGGGGAGGUAGUGACAAUAAAUAACAAUACAGGGUUCUUUUGGAUCUUGUAAUUGGAAUGAGUACAAUUUAAAUCUCUUAACGAGGAACAAUUGGAGGGCAAGUCUGGUGCCAGCAGCCGCGGUAAUUCCAGCUCCAAUAGCGUAUAUUAAAGUUGUUGCAGUUAAAAAGCUCGUAGUUGAAUUUCGGGAUCAAGGAAUCGGUCAUGCCUUGGUAUGUACUGGUUUUAUUGGUUCUCACCUUCUAAAGAACCAUAAUGUCAUUCAUUUGAUGUUAUGGGGAAUUAGGACUGUUACCUUGAAAAAAUUAGAGUGUUUAAAGCAGGCUUACGCUUGAAUACAUUAGCAUGGAAUAAUGAAAUAGGACAUCAGAUUCUAUUUUGUUGGUUUCUAGGAUCGAUGUAAUGAUUAAUAGGGAUAGUUGGGGGCAUUAGUAUUCAAUUGUCAGAGGUGAAAUUCUUGGAUUUAUUGAAGACUAACUACUGCGGAAGCAUUUGCCAAGGAUGUUUUCAUUAAUCAAGAACGAAAGUUAGGGGAUCGAAGACGAUCAGAUACCGUCGUAGUCUUAACCAUAAACUAUGCCGACUAGGGAUCGGAUGAUGUUAAUUUUAUAAUGACUCAUUCGGCACCUUACG
rnacentral:rRNA from 1 species